CAUUCCUACUGCAGUCACAGAGUCUUACGGACCGGGAGGCGCAGCAGGGAAUACAGGGGCCUGGCUGCCCAGGGCGAGGUGCCCGCACUAGGCGCCCCCCCCCCGAGAUCUGGGCGGGGCAGCGGUAUCCUGGGGAGCGCCGGCUGGGGGUAGGAACGCUCACAGCCUCCGGGAGUUCGCGGCCCAGUGUGCUCCAGCCCCAGAGCCAGCGCGGCGAACUCAGUGAGAAGCGGAGCAUUGAGAAGAUCCUAAAGACCACAAGGUGCUUGGCACAUACCAAGACGCGGCUCAGCGCCAUCCUACUGUUACAUUCCACUUGCUUUUCUCGCCUUCCGUGGUCCGGAGCCACAGGCAGGUGUGGGAUACAGUACCUCUGCUCCAAGUGGCUUGAAACCCCUCGUGGCUAAUUCGGACGAACCAACGGCGGCUAGAGAGGGCCAGGGCCCAGGGCAUCUGCAAGCCAGAAAAGGGCGCACUGCACACCGCCCCCACGAGCCGGCAGGCAGCCAGUUUGAUUUUCUAUAAGCAUCAAGAGACUGAAAAUCCGGAAAUAGGCUCCAGUUGACGGUAUGCAUGGCCACAGUCCAGCAAGCUCACCUUCCUGUCCUGGUAUGAUAUUGCAGGAUGGAGGUGUCAGUCCAGGCGGUCCAGAUCCAUCCCCACUGCUCUCCACCAAGUGGUCUCCUCAGUCCAUCUGACUAGUUCAUGUCUCUCAAUAAGGCCUCCACUAUCUCUUCUUCAUACCUAGCAGGUUAGCUCUUUUCAUCUAAGCAACUAGGUAACAUAGUAGAGACCUGGACCAACCACAUCAACUGCUCUUUGCAGAGGAGCACGUGGUAGCUGGAAACAGGACUCCACCUGCAACCAUUCUCUCUUCCCCUAGGCUCUGGCCAAUGGGACUGCGGCCUGCAGCGGUCUUUCACUGACUUUAUUAAAAUUAUAAAGACCUGUCGUCAUUUCACACACAUAUGUCUAUGGUUUCACUUUCUGUGUUUUGUUAGCUACGGUAAGUUGUAGACCAUAAAUAUCAAAUGGUCAAAAAUCAAAUAUAAUUCCAGAAAUAAAAAUACAUGCCAUCCUACCCUGUACUGUCCUCCUUAUGGUUCAGCCCUCUGUCCAGUGUAUCCAAGCUGUAUAUACUACACUCCAGCAGCCACUUAGCUGUUUCAGGUAAUGCCUAGGAUUGCAUUCAAACCUUAUUUUCUUUAAUAACAGCCCAAAGCACAACGCUGGCAAUUUAGACAUGUCAAAGAAAAGCUAUAAGAUGCUUCUUUCAAGUGAAAAGCUGCAAAAAGUUCUUAAUUUAAUAAGGAAGAAAAUAUGGUAUAUUGUGGUUGCCAAGACCUACAGUAUAGUACAGUAUGCUAUGCACCAGGGUUCUGCACUGUCCCCGGCUGAGGCAUCCACUGAGGACACUGGAAGAUGUCAUCAGUAGAUAAGGGAGCUGUGGUAUGUAGACUAUCUCACCCUCACACACACACAAUAUGCCCACACCAAGCCAUACUCGAGGCACCUCACACAUUCACAUGCUCACACACGUGUACAAUAUGCUCACACUAAUACAUACAAACCACUCAACACACACAUAGCUUACACAUGUGCUUAUACAGCAUGUAUACCACCUCACAUGCACACCACCUUAUAUAGCUCACACACAUGCUCACAUUAAUUUCCAUACAACCACCUCACUUGCUACAUACAUGCACACAUACUUUACAAAAUAGUGGUACUAAUCCCCUGCCUCACAUACAUGCACAUGCAGCUCACAUGCACGCAACAACCUAUAUGCAUACUAACUCAUAUACAUGCUCAUGCAGCUCAUAUGCAUGUUCACACUUCACAUACAUGCACAUAACUGACACAUCAUAUUAACUCAUCCACUCUCUCACACAUGUAUUCUCCCACUGUUCACAUACAUACACAGUACCUCACAUGCCUGUUUAUACAGCUCACAGAUGCAUGCAUAACAUAAUACAUACAUAUAUAUUAACAAUAACACAUGUGCUGACCACCUCACAUAUAUGUACACAUUUAUCUGCUUUUCAUAUACACUCAUGCAGUUUACUCACAGUUUUACACAGUAACACUCAUAUAUGUUCUUCAGCCAUCCCAUGCACUGUUGAGGCUUUGCACAUGUAUAAAUGAGUGGGUAUUGACUUGUAUCUCCUUAGCUGCUGUUCUAUAUUUCAUUUUUAUCUCUCCCAAGACCCAUGUGAUUUGUGCAUUUCGAUUCCAGUUUUAUGGAUAAAGAGACCAGACUGCUAUGAAAUAAAUGAAAACUUACAAAUGGAUGAGUACUGGAUCCUUGGUUAACACACACUCUCACCACACACAUUUCCCAGGGAAGAUCUUUGCUUUAACAAUACUCUCCAGCCAG